AGUGGCGCACGGGUGCGUAACGCGUGGGAAUCUGCCCUUAGGUACGGAAUAACUCAGAGAAAUUUGUGCUAAUACCGUAUGAUGUCGAAAGACCAAAGAUUUAUCGCCUAAGGAUGAGCCCGCGUAAGAUUAGCUUGUUGGUGAGGUAAAAGCUCACCAAGGCGACGAUCUUUAGCUGGUCUGAGAGGAUGAUCAGCCACACUGGGACUGAGACACGGCCCAGACUCCUACGGGAGGCAGCAGUGGGGAAUAUUGGACAAUGGGCGAAAGCCUGAUCCAGCAAUGCCGCGUGAGUGAUGAAGGCCUUAGGGUUGUAAAGCUCUUUUACCAGGGAUGAUAAUGACAGUACCUGGAGAAUAAGCUCCGGCUAACUCCGUGCCAGCAGCCGCGGUAAUACGGAGGGAGCUAGCGUUGUUCGGAAUUACUGGGCGUAAAGAGUACGUAGGCGGUUAUUCAAGUCAGAGGUGAAAGCCUGGAGCUCAACUCCAGAACUGCCUUUGAAACUAGAUAGCUAGAAUCUUGGAGAGGUGAGUGGAAUUCCGAGUGUAGAGGUGAAAUUCGUAGAUAUUCGGAAGAACACCAGUGGCGAAGGCGACUCACUGGACAAGUAUUGACGCUGAGGUACGAAAGCGCGGGGAGCAAACAGGAUUAGAUACCCUGGUAGUCCACGCCGUAAACGAUGAUAACUAGCUGUUCGGGC
rnacentral:rRNA from 1 species